rnacentral:rRNA from 1 species
AACGAACGCUGGCGGCGUGCCUAACACAUGCAAGUCGAGGGAGAAAGGGGGCUUCGGUCUCCGAGUAAACCGGCGCACGGGUGAGUAACACGUAGGUAACGUACCCUUGAGUCUGGGAUAACCAGUCGAAAGACUGGCUAAUACCAGAUACGACUGCGGAGACCCCCGGUUUCUGCAGUGAAAAGAUGGCCCUCUGCUUGCAAGCUAUCACUCGUGGAUCGGCCUGCGCACCAUUAGCUAGUUGGUGAGGUAACGGCUCACCAAGGCUGAGAUGGUUAGCUGGUCUGAGAGGAUGGCCAGCCACACUGGGACUGAGACACGGCCCAGACCUCCUACGGGAGGCAGCAGUGGGAAUAUUGCGCAAUGGGCGAAAGCCUGACGCAGCGACGCCGCGUGGGUGAUGAAGG